CCCUUAGAUGUCCUGGGCCGCACGCGCGCUGCACUGAUGCAUUCAACGAGUUUUACCUUGGCCGAGAGGCCUGGGCAAUCUUUUAAACCUGCAUCGUGAUAGGGAUAGAUUAUUGCAAUUAUUAAUCUUGAACGAGGAAUUCCUAGUAAACGCAGAUCAUCAAUCUGCAUUGAUUACGUCCCUGCCCUUUGUACACACCGCCCGUCGCACCUACCGAUUGAAUGGUCCGGUGAAGCCUCGGGAUUGUGGCCAGUUCACUUUAUUGGGAGUUGGCUGCGAGAACUUGUCUAAACCUUAUCAUUUAGAGGAAGGUGAAGUCGUAACA
rnacentral:rRNA from 1 species